rnacentral:tRNA from 1 species
GGGGCCGUAGCUCAGUCGGGAGAGCGUCGCGUUCGCAAUGCGAAGGUCGGGAGUUCGAAUCUCCUCGGCUCCACCA